rnacentral:lncRNA from 1 species
AAGGCACCGCAACUCCACAAGCACCAAGAUUAACAGCAACAAUAAUAGCAACACAAUCCAACAUGGCCCCCGGGCCGGUGGCUUAGGCAGCCACGUCCUCUUCCUCCUCGUCCUCGUAGUCUUCCUCCUCGUCAGCUGUCGCGUCCUGGUACUGCUGGUACUCAGCCACCAGGUCGUUCAUGUUGCUCUCAGCCUCGGUGAACUCCAUCUCGUCCAUGCCCUCCCCGGUGUACCAGUGCAAGAAGGCCUUGCGCCGGAACAUGGCCGUGAACUGCUCGCUCACGCGGCGGAACAUCUCCUGGAUCGAGGUGGAGUUGCCGAUGAACGUGGACGCCAUCUUCAGGCCUCUGGGGGGGAUGUCGCACACGCUCGACUUCACGUUGUUCGGGAUCCACUCCACGAAGUAGGACGAGUUCUUGUUCUGCACGUUCAGCAUCUGCUCGUCCACCUCCUUGGUGCUCAUCUUCCCACGGAACAUGGCCGAGGCUGUCAGGUAGCGCCCAUGACGUGGGUCGGCUGCGCACAUCAUGUUCUUGGCGUCCCACAUCUGCUGGGUCAGCUCGGGGACGGUGAGGGCACGGU